GACGAACGCUGGCGGCGCGCUUAACACAUGCAAGUCGAACGGAAAGGCCUGCUUUCCCUUGUGGAUUGCGGGUACUCGAGUGGCGAACGGGUGAGUAACACGUGAGUGAUCUGCCCCCAACUUGGGUAUAAGCCUGGGAAACUGGGUCUAAUUCCCGAUAGGACUGCAGGGUGGUGCCUGUGGUGGAACACGAUUUUCUAGUGGUUGGGGAUGAGCUCGCGGCCUAUCAGCUUGUUGGUGGGGUAAUGGCCUACCAAGGCGGCGACGGGUAGCCGGCCUGAGAGGGUGGACGGCCACAGUGGGACUGAGAUACGGCCCAGACUCCUACGGGAGGCAGCAGUGGGGAAUAUUGCACAAUGGGCGGAAGCCUGAUGCAGCGACGCCGCGUGGGGGAUGACGGCCUUCGGGUUGUAAACUCCUUUCGACCGCGAGGAAGCCACCUGGUUGGAAGGGUGGUGACGGUAGUGGUAGAAGAAGCACCGGCUAACUACGUG
rnacentral:rRNA from 1 species